rnacentral:lncRNA from 1 species
CCCAGGGCUCACGGGGAGACCACACCAGGGAGCCGCGCCCAGGGCCUCUGCACCCCUGUUUAUGGGGCCACUUGGGCGGAAGGGGCUUCGGUUCUGUGGGGGGACUUUAGCUCCUCUCUUGCCAACCCCUGGGGGGGCAGCCCGGGGAUGCGACUGCCCCUGUCCCUAGAGUCAGCCCGGAGUCUCCAGGCCAGCCCUGCCCUCAGGCAGAGCCCCGUUUGUCCCUCCAGCUGGUCUGCAGCCCGAAGUCCCCGUGGUGUCAGGCGGCCCGUGUCCCUUGCCCCUGAGGGGUGUCUGGCUCCGGUUCUGGCCUAGAAUUUGGACACCCUGAGUUAGCCACACCUGGCAGGUUCCAGGCGAGCCGUCCCGCGCCGGGGCGGGUACACGUCUGACGCCCAGGCUCCCGCCCUCUCCGGCCCCGUGGCCCCAGGUCACCUGUGCACCGCUCCUGACGAGCCCGGCUGGCAGGCACACCGGCCGAGAGGAGGACGGGACCAGCUGAGCGUUGGUCAAGAAGCGGGGAGCCUGGUUGGGGGUAUACCUGGAGUACCCGGAGCCCGUGAAGCUGCCCAUCACCUUGGUGAUCCUGGGAUCAACACCCUGCUUAUGGUGAAGGCCAACCUGCUGAGCAACCUGAAAGCAGGGAAGACCCAUUUAGGAAAGACUCACUCAUCUGUACGGGGGAGCUGGUAUUCCCAGCCCCAGGCCAG